AUUGAACGCUGGCGGCAUGCCUUACACAUGCAAGUCGAACGGUAACGGGCCUUCGGGUGCCGACGAGUGGCGAACGGGUGAGUAAUGCAUCGGAACGUACCUUUCAGUGGGGGAUAACGUAGCGAAAGUUACGCUAAUACCGCAUAUUCUGUGAGCAGGAAAGCAGGGGAUCGCAAGACCUUGCGCUGAUUGAGCGGCCGAUGUCAGAUUAGCUAGUUGGUGAGGUAAAGGCUCACCAAGGCGACGAUCUGUAGCGGGUCUGAGAGGAUGAUCCGCCACACUGGAACUGAGACACGGUCCAGACUCCUACGGGAGGCAGCAGUGGGGAAUUUUGGACAAUGGGGGCAACCCUGAUCCAGCCAUGCCGCGUGAGUGAAGAAGGCCUUCGGUUGU
rnacentral:rRNA from 1 species